rnacentral:rRNA from 1 species
AGGACGAACGCUGGCGGCGUGCCUAACACAUGCAAGUCGAACGAGGUCCAACCGGUGGCAACACUGGUGAAGACCGAGUGGCGAACGGGUGAGUAACACGUGAGCAACCUGCCUCGAAGACUGGGAUAACCCCGGGAAACCGGAGCUAAUACCGGAUACCCCCACCGGGUCGCAUGGCCUGGUGAGGAAAUGGAUUCCGCUUUGAGAGGGGCUCGCGGCCUAUCAGCUUGAUGGUGGGGUAAUGGCCUACCAUGGCACCGACGGGUAGCUGGUCUGAGAGGACGAUCAGCCACACUGGGACUGAGACACGGCCCAGACUCCUACGGGAGGCAGCAGUGGGGAAUCUUGCGCAAUGGGCGAAAGCCUGACGCAGCAACGCCGCGUGUGGGACGAAGGCCUUCUGGGUUGUAAACCACUUUCAGCAGGGACGAUUGUGACGGUACCUGCAGAAGAAGCCCCGGCCAACUACGUGCCAGCAGCCGCGGU